UCAUCCCAGGUUGCGGGAGGUGGAGGCAGAUCAGACAUUCAAGGCCAGCAGGAGCAACCGGAGACCCAGCCUCCAAACCACUAGAGGGACUUCUGACAUGUGACAAGCUACUGGGAAGACGUAAGGACAGACUCCCUUCCUUGUCUGCAGGAGACGCGUGCUGAAACACCCCUCCCUGAACCUGACCUGUCACACAGGGCCCACUGUAACACCGGCUGGCCUGGGACUCGGGGAUCCGCCUGCCUCGGCCUGCCUAGGGCUCGGAUCAAAGGCUAGCGCCACCAAGCCUGGCUUCAUCCGAACCGAGCGCCCCCCUGGUGGGCAGCCGAUCUCUAAGCAGGGUCACCUGAGAACAGCGCUUCUUGCUACAAGAGGCCAAACAAAGCAAGAGCUAAUAAAGAGCUGAACUGCCAAUGGCGCGAGGCAGGAGAAGGCGGGGCUGGCAGGCAGAGAGAAUAUACAGAAGGAGAAAUCUGGGAGAAAGGAAGGAGGACUGCAGAGGCCAGCCACCCAGCUACACAGCUACACAGCCAGACCUGGAGUAAGAGUGAGGGUUGUGCUGCUCUCAGCCUUGGCCAGAGAAGCUGCUUCCGCGUGGGCAGUGGUUAAUGCAGACUCCUAACAGUCAAAGCACUUGUGUAAAUCCAGCAUGGGCCGCAUGGCUGUGACCCCAACACUCAGAAGUAAAGGCAGGAAGAUAAAACAUCCAAAGCUGGGGCUGCAGAGAUGGCUCAGAGGUUAAGAUCACUGGCUGCUCUUCCAGAGGUCCCGAGGUCCAUUCCUAGCAACCACAU